AUUGAACGCUGGCGGCAGGCCUAACACAUGCAAGUCGAGCGAGCGGCGGACGGGUGAGUAAUGUCUGGGAAACUGCCUGAUGGAGGGGGAUAACUACUGGAAACGGUAGCUAAUACCGCAUACCAUCAGAUGUGCCCAGAUGGGAUUAGCUAGUAGGUGGGGUAAUGGCUCACCUAGGCGACGAUCCCUAGCUGGUCUGAGAGGAUGACCAGGCAGACUGGAACUGUGCAACGGGCCAGACUCAUACGGACGGCGGCAGUGGGGAAUAUUUCACAAGGGGCGCAAGCCUGAUGCAGCCAUGCCGCGGGUGUGAAGAAGGACUUCGGGGUGGAAAGCACUGUCAGCGGGGAGUCGUUACCCGCAGAAUAAGCACCGGCUAACUCCGUGCCAGCAGCCGCGGUAAUUC
rnacentral:rRNA from 1 species